CCGGGGGUGAGGGGGAGCGCGUGCGUGGCGGAGGGAGCAUUACCGAGUUUACAACUCCCAAACCCCUGUGAACAUACCUAUACGUUGCCUCGGCGGAUCAGCCCGCGCCCCGUAAAAAGGGACGGCCCGCCCGAGGACCCCUAAACUCUGUUUUUAGUGGAACUUCUGAGUAAAACAAACAAAUAAAUCAAAACUUUCAACAACGGAUCUCUUGGUUCUGGCAUCGAUGAAGAACGCAGCAAAAUGCGAUAAGUAAUGUGAAUUGCAGAAUUCAGUGAAUCAUCGAAUCUUUGAACGCACAUUGCGCCCGCCAGUAUUCUGGCGGGCAUGCCUGUUCGAGCGUCAUUUCAACCCUCAAGCUCAGCUUGGUGUUGGGACUCGCGGUAACCCGCGUUCCCCAAAUCGAUUGGCGGUCACGUCGAGCUUCCAUAGCGUAGUAAUCAUACACCUCGUUACUGGUAAUCGUCGCGGCCACGCCGUAAAACCCCAACUUCUGAAUGUUGACCUCGGAUCAGGUAGGAAUACCCGCUGAACUUAA
rnacentral:rRNA from 1 species